GCGCUCUCUCCGCCAGGGGGCAGCGCCGCGCCCCGCCCGCCAUGUCGGACAAGAUGGCGGCGGCUGCGGCCUGUCCGCAGCCUCAGCCCGGUCCCAGCGCCGCUCCCAGCCCCGGCCCCGGCCCCGGGCCCGGCCCGCCGGCCGCCGAGGCGGAGCGCGGGGCCCCACGCGGCAGCGCGGCGGACGGGGAGGCUGAGGCGGAGGAGUUCGGGUGUCCGGCGCACUGCUCCGACCUUGCCUGGCGGCAGAACGAGCAGCGCCGCCACGGCCUCUACUGCGACAUCACGCUGGCUUUCGGCGGCGCGGGCAUGGCCCGCGAGUACCGGGCGCACCGGUCCGUCCUGGCCGCCGCCACCGAGUACUUCUCGCCGCUGCUCUCGGGGGGGUUCGCGGAGUCGCGCUCGGGUCGCGUGGAGCUGCAGAAGUGGAGCUCGGAGGGCGGCCCCGACCCCGACACGGUGGAGGCCGUUAUCGGUUUCAUGUACACCGGCACCAUCCGUGUGAGCCCCGGCAACGUCCAUGAGGUGCUGGAGAUGGCGGACAGGUUUCUGCUGACCCGGUUAAAGGACUUCUGUGGAGAGUUUCUGAAGAAGAAGCUGAACCUCUCCAACUGUGUGGCGGUUCACAGCUUGGCCCAUAUGUAUUCCCUGAAUCAGCUGGCCCUCAAAGCUCAGGACAUGAUCAGGAGAAACUUCCACAAAGUCAUCCAAGAUGAGGAGUUCUACACUUUGCCAUUUCACCUUGUCCGGGACUGGCUCUCAGACUCGGAGAUCACAGUGGACUCUGAAGAAAUCCUCUUUGAGACUGUUUUGAAGUGGGUUCAGAAAAAUCCUGAGGAAAGAGAGAGGUACUUUGAAGAUCUCUUUAAGCUGCUAAGAUUAUCUCAGAUGAAACCCACGUACCUGACCCGCCACGUGAAAUCCGAGCGGCUGGUGUUGAGCAGCGAGGCCUGUGUGAAGCUGGUGUCCGAGGCCGUGGAGAGCCACGCCCUGCGCUCUGAGAACCUGCAGUCUGGGAACCUGCAGCACUCCGCCUGUCCCGCCGCGCUGCUGCCGCGCUUCGGCCAGAACAUGGACGUCAUCAUGGUCAUCGGCGGCGUGUCCGAGGGCGGCGACUACCUGAGCGAGUGCGUGGGCUACUUCAUCGACGAGGACAGGUGGGUCAACCUGCCUCACAUCCACAACCACCUGGACGGGCAUGCCGUGGCCGUGACAGAGUCCUACGUGUACGUGGCUGGCUCCAUGGAACCGGGCUUUGCCAAGACUGUGGAAAGGUACAAUCCGAACAGAAAUAUCUGGGAGCAGGUUUCAAACCUAAUCACCAGGAAACAUUCCUUUGGCCUUACUGAAGUGAAAGGCAACUUGUACAGUAUCGGUGGACAUGGUAAUUUCAGUCCAGGCUUUAAAGAUGUGGCCAUUUAUAAUCCUGAGCAGGACAAAUGGCUGAACCUGGAGUCGGCACCAAAGAUCCUGCGGGAUGUCAAGGCUGUCUCCGUGGAGGACCGCUACGUGUACGUGGCCGCCCGCACCCCGGUCGACAGCGACAGCGAGGACGGGCUGAGGGCUGUUAUUAUCAGAUACGAUGCUGAAACCAGGCAGUGGCAGGACGUGGAGUCCCUGCCCCUCAUCGACAACUACUGCUCUUUCCAGAUGUCUGUUGCCAGCACCAACUUCUACCACACGGCAUCGUGCUGCCCCAAGAGCUACCCCAUAGACAACGAGGAGGCCAAGGGCAAGAUCUCCAGCAGGGCCUCGGAUGAAAUCCUGGAAUCCUUGCCCCCCGAGGUCCUGAGCAUUGAAGGAGCAGCUAUUUGUUACUACAAAGAUGACGUGUUCAUCAUUGGGGGGUGGAAGAACAGCGACGACAUCGACAAGCAGUACAGGAAGGAGGCCUAUCGCUACUGCGCCGAGCGGAAGCGCUGGAUGCUCCUGCCCCCGAUGCCACAGCCCCGCUGCAGAGCCACUGCCUGCCACGUGAGAAUCCCCUUCAGGUGCCUGCAGGGAACGCAGAGGUACCCCAUGCCACAGAAUCUCAUGUGGCAAAAAGAUAGAAUAAGGCAAAUGCAGGAGAGGCAGAUGCAGGAGAUACACCGAUACUCGCUGAGCUUACGGAGGAUGCCGCGCUCCCAGAUCGAGUGCUAGUGUCUGCAGUAUCACUCCUGAUGAGCCUAGGAAAUAAACCCAUUUGUUAGGCUUGAUGUGUCUUUAUAAGACAUGAGGGUGUGGAUUUGAUUUGAUGCAUAAAACCAGCAUCUGUCGUGUACUGAAAAUUCAGAAGCUCAGAAGUUGAGGGUGGGUGGGAAUUGAGACACUCCGUGAAUCCAACAGUAUUCCUUAAUGAUGCCCAGGGAAAAGCUGUAGCCUGUAUUGGGCUGUGAAAUGUCUCUGGGAGCAUUAAGCCUGUUACUUCUUUCCUCAGAUCUUUGGUUCCAAGGAUUUCUGUAGAGUUAGUCUCUGACAGUUCUACUUGGAAAAUCAAAGAUCUCUCUCUUAAUAAUUUAGUGGUUACAUUUGUGUGUGCUUGAAAGCACCUGUUUCAUUUGCACUUAUCUCUUGACAUUCCUUUGAUUCUCUCCUCAGUGACUAAACUUCACAGGAUUGGUGUUGAUGUACUUGGCUUUCCCAAGCUGGAGGCAAGUGCAAUAGUUCUGUAUGAAACAAAAGCACAAUCUUUCUUUAUGAAAUUAUUUCAGGAUGUUUCUAUGUGUAUUAAAUAUUUUGUAUUUGUGUGUUGUAGAGAGGCUGCAGUGUUUGUUUAUAGGUGGAUGAUUGGUUGGACACAAGACACUUGCUAAAAGAGAGCUUAAGGCAGUGGAUUUUUUUUUCAGGUGUAUUUGCAGGUUUGAGUCUGUCUGUGACUCAAACUUAACUUGGGUCAACAGCCUGAGCAAAGGAGUGACACCAGGCAAUGAGCCACCCACCCACACUGGUUGUUCAGUUCUGUCAGAGUGGAUCAGUGAGAAUGGGAUAAUUUCAUGGGAAUAUAGUGAAACCUGAGCUACUUGUAGGUCUUUUCUCAAAAUGUUGCACGUUUUAAUUCUAGUGAAAAGUGAUGAAAGAGCCCCUGCUGUUCCCAGCCUGUCUCUGACAAUCAGAAGCCUUUGCCCUCCCAGGGGACUCCCAGCAGCUGUGCUGCAGCUCUGCACCGGGCUGGCACGAGUGCUCCUGCAGGGGGGAGAGCUGGCCUUCCAGAGUCUCCAGGUAUCUAUCUGAGCUUCCCCACGUGCUGUGGGCUGAGAUUUAAGCUCAUUUAAACAUCUUUUGGCAUUUUGAGGUGGCCGUACACGUAAGUGCCCUGGUUGGCUCUGGAUGCUUCCUGCUGCACUUCCAAAAUGUGGGAUAGUCCCUUUGGAGUAUCCCUGCCUCUCUGUCCCACUGAACACUCCUUCUCCCCAGCCCAAGAAGCUCCAGAACCCUUUCAUUUACCAACAGUUUCAGUGCAUACUUCCUACCUCCUUUUCUCCCCAUCCUUCCCUUCUUUUGAAUGUUCCAGGUCUUUCCAUGCAGUCUUAACUCAGGAUCUUAGGGAAGGGAAUGGGAGGAGUAACCUGGGUAUUACAAAAUUUCUGUAGACAAACCUUAGUGGAAAAUCUGUUACUGUUCUUGGUUCAUUGCUGAUUUGCUGGUGGUUUUGCUGUGUGGGUGAGUUCUUUACAAAGAACUUUUAACCAAUUUGGGGUUUGUUUUGGUCUUAAUUGUUUUUCUUCCUGAGCUGCUCAUUCUCCUUUUCCAGUUCAACAGGCAGCCCAGAUCAUAUCUGAAACUUGGGGUGAAGUCUAUGCUACUGGCUUCAUGCAAGAGGAAAUAGGAGGACUUUGGGCUGAUGGACAAGCUGUGGCAUUUACUCAAAGCACUCUCCUGAGAGCCAGUGUGAGCCCUGCCCCAUCCCUGGACAGGUAACCCGUGUGUGCCAGCUGCAUGCUGUGUGGGCAGUGCUGUUCCUCCCUGUGCUGGGGUGGGGCCUGGCAGCAGCACAGGCUGCUCUCAAUGUUUGCUCUGCCAGUUCUGGGGUAUUUUUAAGCAGUUGGGGUUUUUUAGCCUUGAGGGACCAGUGGCACUGAUAAGGUUUGUGACCGACAGGUCAGAUAGUCCACUGCAUCACAUGAGGUGUUGGGAGAAUUGCGUUCAUGGCUCUGGCUGCAGUUUAGCCCACAAGCCUGUGAAUCCAUAACAAUUUCCUUGUGCCCUUGACCACCAUAGCUUGCUGGGUGUUUAUCAAAUGAUCCCAUAAACAGAAGCCUGGGAAUUCCUCCCGGGCGUUUCUGGAGGCUGGUCAGCUGUCAGCAGGAUCCCAGUGUGUGUUCAGUAAGGGUGAGAAGGCUGACUGCUGCCUCACUGAGGGAAAAGGACAUUGGGGGGAGUUUUCCUCCUCCUUAGGACAAUCACACCUCUACACCUGUCCUGAUUCCUGCCACCAAACACACGUGUCAUGUCCUGGCUUUCUGCUCAAAGUACCAGUGGCACUUGCCAGGUGCUGGUGGUCACUUUAGUACCUCCCAGGGGCCAGAUGUGUACAUAAAAUUUUAUAACUACCCGGAUACUCCAUUAGUUGCCAGGGGUUGUUUUUAAUGACUCCCUUGCACACAGUGGGAGUCAUUCCAGAGAUGAAGCAAACAGCCCAAUGUCACAUGUGCUGUGAACAACUCUACCCAGCGUUCUGCUUUGUAUUGCAAUGACAUUUUUCUCCAUUACAGUAAAUAUUAAAAUUCAAACUCUUGGCUCAUCUUGUGUGUUGUGGAAUACUCUGGUGGCUGAAAACAGACCCAGUCCCAAGGAAUUAGAACUUUUUAUGUUAUUCCUUUUACAGCCUUGUAACAGGAUAUAACAUCCAAUGGGCUUUGAAAAGCAAGUGUAGAGAAAGUGGUCUGUGGCUUGGAUUUAUUUUCAGCUCAGUCCACCUUAGGCUGGGGUACAAGCCAUCUCCCAUUUGACGCUCCUGGGUGGAAUCUGAUGAAACAGGUGCUCUUGAGGAUCUAACCCUGUUACUAAUAUGAAUGUAGAGUGUGGAACUAACGAGAUGAUUGAUGACCAUUAAUAAUCAGAGUCUCCUCGUGGGUCCAUGUCACUGUGGGUGGCAGCAGCUCUGCUCUCCUGGCACAUUAACAGAGGGACAGCAGUUUCCUGGGGAGCAGCACUCCUGUCCUUACCUGUGUGGUAAAGUUGUGUGUGUCACAGGCCCUUUGAAACAGAUCCUGCUGUCCUGUUCUUGACCUUAAAUACACUGUACUAAAGUUUAUUGUAAGAGGUGAAUUAAUGAAAAUAAACCUUUUAUUUCUCU